AAAUUGAAGAGUUUGAUCAUGGCUCAGAUUGAACGCUGGCGGCAGGCCUAACACAUGCAAGUCGAACGGUAACAGGAAGCAGCUUGCUGCUUUGCUGACGAGUGGCGGACGGGUGAGUAAUGUCUGGGAAACUGCCUGAUGGAGGGGGAUAACUACUGGAAACGGUAGCUAAUACCGCAUAACGUCGCAAGACCAAAGAGGGGGACCUUCGGGCCUCUUGCCAUCGGAUGUGCCCAGAUGGGAUUAGCUAGUAGGUGGGGUAACGGCUCACCUAGGC
rnacentral:rRNA from 1 species